ACUUUUAUAGGAUAGAAGUAAUCCGUUGGUCUUAGGAACC
rnacentral:tRNA from 1 species